rnacentral:lncRNA from 1 species
UUCUGUUCGCCAGGCCUAGGGAGAGAGCACUGGCCCUACUCUGGGCAGGAAGUCAACAGGGGAGUGGAGAGUAAUGCUAAGAAAACAUCCCCCGUCUUUCAGGAGGGUGAACUGCUUUCCCCUGAAAUCGCCACAUCCUCAGUUUCUCAAAAUAAGGGAAAGGAGUCCGCUUGAGCUACUGACAAGAUGAAAGAACUGUUAAGGGGCCUAACGAGAGAAAGAGAAAAGGACUAGGAGGAGAAAAGUGUCUUUCGUGUUAAGGAAGACAGGACGAGGCACACAAGGACCGGCCACGAGCUUGCUAGGAGUUAAUGUAAGCAAUCAGUGAGUGCGUAGUUCGCUACCCAGCAAGAACCAAAUGCUGCUGCUGCUGCUACUGCUGCUGAAGUCGAACUUUAAGAACUCAGUAACCUAAAGAGGAGUUUGAAGAGGUAUCAUGAAACGCCGUCCUGCGGAAACAUCCACCAUCCGGACCACUGAGGGACCCCAGGAAUCUUGCUCUGUCGCCUACGCUGGAAUGCAGUGGCGCCAUCUCGGCUCACUGCAGCCUUGGCCUCCCGGGUUCAAGCGAUUCUUCCUGCCUCAGCCUCCCGUGUAGCUGGGAUGACAGGCGCGCGACACCACGUCCGACUAAUUUUUGUAGAGACGGGGUUUUAACAUGUUGGCCAGGCUGGUUGGCCAGGCUGGUCUCGAACUCCGGACCUCAGCUGAUCCGCCCACCUCGGCCUCCCGAAGUGCUGGGAUUACAGGCGUGAGCCACUGCGCCCGGCUUCACUUCAUUGUUUCCCUCAAAUAUUAUCUUUUCUGAAAC